rnacentral:rRNA from 1 species
AAUCAACGCUGGCGGCGUGCCUCAGACAUGCAAGUCGAACGCGAAAUUUCCCUUCGGGGAGAAAGUAGAGUGGCGCACGGGUGAGUAACACGUGGGUAAUUUACCUUCGGGUGGGGAAUAACAGUCGGAAACGACUGCUAAUACCGCAUGAUGCAGCGGCACCACAUGGUGACAGUUGUUAAAGCGGGGGAUCGCAAGACCUCGCGCCUGAAGAGAAGCCCGCGGCAGAUAGCUAGUUGGUAAGGUAAUGGCUUACCAAGGCAACGAUCUGUAGCCGGCCUGAGAGGGCGGUCGGCCACACUGACACUGAAUAACGGGUCAGACUCCUACGGGAGGCAGCAGUCGGGAAUUUUGGGCAAUGGGCGAAAGCCUGACCCAGCAACGCCGCGUGAAGGAUGAAGUAUUUCGGUAUGUAAACUUCGAAAGAAUAGGAAGAAUAAAUGACGGUACUAUUUAUAAGGUCCGGCUAACUACGUGCCAGCAGCCG